rnacentral:rRNA from 1 species
CCUACGGGAGGCAGCAGUGAGGAAUAUUGGUCAAUGGGCGCUAGCCUGAACCAGCCAAGUAGCGUGAAGGAUGACUGCCCUCUGGGUUGUAAACUUCUUUUAUAUGGGAAUAAAGUGCAGUAUGUAUACUGCUUUGCAUGUACCUUAUGAAUAAGGAUCGGCUAACUCCGUGCCAGCAGCCGCGGUAAUACGGAGGAGCCGAGCGUUAUCCGGAUUUAUUGGGUUGAAAGGGAGCGUAGGCGGGUUGUUAAGUCAGUUGUGAAAGUUUGGGGCUCAACCGUAAAAUUGCAGUUGAUACUGGCAGCCUUGAGUACAGUAGAGGGAGGCGGAAUUCGUGGUGUAGCGGUGAAAUGCUUAGAGAUCACGAAGAACUCCGAUUGCGAAGGCAGCCUGCUGGACUGUAACUGACGCUGAUGCUCGAAAGUGUGGGUAUCAAACAGGAUUAGAUACCCCUGUAGUC